rnacentral:rRNA from 1 species
UGCACUUACAAGCUGUGGAAGCACAUUUCUUGUGUGACCGCGUACUUUUUGUAGAACGGGCCAACGAGUUACGUUAAGUAGCAAGGUUAAGCACUUAAGGUGUGGAGCCGUAGCGAAAGCGCGUUUUAACUGAGCGUUCAGUUACUUGACGUAGACCCGAAACCGGGCGACCUACCCAUGAGCAGGAUGAAGCGAAAGUAAAAUUUCGUGGAGGUCCGAACCCACGAGCGUUGAAAAGC